rnacentral:rRNA from 1 species
AGGGGAAUAUUGGACAAUGGGCGAAAGCCUGAUCCAGCCAUGCCGCGUGUGUGAAGAAGGUCUUCGGAUUGUAAAGCACUUUAAGUUGGGAGGAAGGGCAGUAAGCGAAUACCUUGCUGUUUUGACGUUACCGACAGAAUAAGCACCGGCUAACUCUGUGCCAGCAGCCGCGGUAAUACAGAGGGUGCAAGCGUUAAUCGGAAUUACUGGGCGUAAAGCGCGCGUAGGUGGUUCGUUAAGUUGAAUGUGAAAGCCCCGGGCUCAACCUGGGAACUGCAUCCAAAACUGGCGAGCUAGAGUAGGGCAGAGGGUGGUGGAAUUUCCUGUGUAGCGGUGAAAUGCGUAGAUAUAGGAAGGAACACCAGUGGCGAAGGCGACCACCUGGGCUCAUACUGACACUGAGGUGCGAAAGCGUGGGGAGCAAACAGG